GCCUUCGUGGUGUAACGGUUAGCACACUUGGCGCUUAUCCGAGAGGUCCAGGUUCAAAUCCCGGCGAGAGAA
rnacentral:tRNA from 1 species